rnacentral:rRNA from 1 species
GACGAACGCUGGCGGCGUGCCUAAUACAUGCAAGUCGAGCGAGCUUGCCUAUUGAAAUUCUUCGGAAUGGACAUAGAUACAAGCUAGCGGCGGAUGGGUGAGUAACGCGUGGGUAACCUGCCCUUAAGUCUGGGAUACCAUUUGGAAACAGAUGCUAAUACCGGAUAAAAGCUACUUUCGCAUGAAAGAAGUUUAAAAGGCGGCGUAAGCUGUCGCUAAAGGAUGGACCUGCGAUGCAUUAGCUAGUUGGUAAGGUAACGGCUUACCAAGGCGAUGAUGCAUAGCCGAGUUGAGAGACUGAUCGGCCACAUUGGGACUGAGACACGGCCCAAACUCCUACGGGAGGCAGCAGUAGGGAAUCUUCCACAAUGGACGCAAGUCUGAUGGAGCAACGCCGCGUGAGUGAAGAAGGUUUUCGGAUCGUAAAGCUCUGUUGUUGGUGAAGAAGGAUAGAGGUAGUAACUGGCCUUUACUUGACGGUAAUCAACCAGAAAGUCACGGCUAACUACGUGCCAGCAGCCGCGGUAAUACGUAGGUGGCAAGCGUUGUCCGGAUUUAUUGGGCGUAAAGCGAGCGCAGGCGGAUUGAUAAGUCUGAUGUGAAAGCCUUCGGCUCAACCGAAGAACUGCAUCAGAAACUGUCAAUCUUGAGUGCAGAAGAGGAGAGUGGAACUCCAUGUGUAGCGGUGGAAUGCGUAGAUAUAUGGAAGAACACCAGUGGCGAAGGCGGCUCUCUGGUCUGUAACUGACGCUGAGGCUCGAAAGCAUGGGUAGCGAACAGG